rnacentral:rRNA from 1 species
CAGCAGCCGCGGUAAUACGGAGGAUCCAAGCGUUAUCCGGAAUCAUUGGGUUUAAAGGGUCCGUAGGCGGUUUAGUAAGUCAGUGGUGAAGGCCCAUCGCUCAACGAUGGAACGGCCAUUGAUACUGCUAGACUUGAAUUAUUAGGAAGUAACUAGAAUAUGUAGUGUAGCGGUGAAAUGCUUAGAGAUUACAUGGAAUACCAAUUGCGAAGGCAGGUUACUACUAGUUUAUUGACGCUGAUGGACGAAAGCGUGGGGAGCGAACAGGAUUAGAUACCCUGGUAGUCCACGCCGUAAACGAUGGAUACUAGCUGUUUGGAGCAAUCUGAGUGGCUAAGCGAAAGUGAUAAGUAUCCCACCUGGGGAGUACGCACGCAAGUGUGAAACUCAAAGGAAUUG